ACUAUUUGAAUGUGUGUUGCUCCUUGUGGCAGGUAUACUGUUCCAAUGCCCUGGGAUCUCUGUAGUGGUCGGUACUGUAUUGAUUAUAAAUGGUGAAGUCCUAGUAUCUUGCUAGAGUGAGCUGGCCAGGAUGGUGGAGCUCUACCACCAUUUCACAGGUUAUAGACAGGGGCCACCAGGUUUCAGGAAAGCAGCAAUGACCCCUCAGUAAUAGUUGGAAAGUGUGAUAUGACACUGAGCUUCACUGUGUUGGUGAAGAAGAGGUGAGGAAAAUAAAAGCUGCAGUUUGCCUCCACCUCUGAAGAAGCACAAUACACCUUUCUGGGUUACCAAUGGGAUACUUCCCAACAGCUUUGUCAUCACAUACAAUAUUCUCAAACAAGAUCUUAAUGGCAUCUACUUUCUCCAGGAACACAGCCCCUGACCUGUGUGUGUUUGCGUAGAGAAGGCAUGCUAUGUACCCCCUAGGAUAUGAAUCUGCCCACCACUCAAGCCUGGGAAAGCUGGCAGAGGAUGCACGUGUUUUACUCACCUGAGUGUUUACAAUGCUCGUGAGGUGCCUCCCUGAUAUUUUUAUAGCAGAAUGGAGAAACACAACCAAGGAGAUACACCUAAGUAACAACAGCAAUGAUGUCAAAAAGAGUGCCUGAAUACUUAGGGUGGAGGUCCUGGACAUGCAAACCCAAGCUUCCUCUUUGCUGUGGCCAGGAAUCUGCAGUGAUUGAGAGCACAGACUGUAUCUAAAAUUCCACCUUUCAAAGUUCAGCAUAUUACUUUUUUUUUUCUUACACCUAUAAGUACAGAGGAAUGAAGAAGGAAUAAACAGACCUUCUGGAUAAUUGCAUCAGCCUUCCCCACUAUUCCAAUGCCAUGCUAACAUUUCAAGUAAUGUCCCUUUUGUCUUGCUGAGAAAAAAUCAUUUCAUGAUUUAUUACACUGGAUUAAAGGCUAUGCACACUCUGGAGUUGGAACAUGACUGAAGGGCAAGCAAGCAUAAAGGAUAUCAGAAACAGUUGAUGUGUUUAAAUUUUUCUGAAUUUCUCAAGUAAACUUUUUAGAAAGUAGUCUGAAGAUAAAAUGGUUAUAUAAGUUACUUAAACUGUAGAUGAUGGCACCUUUAUCCCUAUAUAAUAAAAUUAAGAUAACUCUUCUGGGCACUUUAUUUGGAAUUAAUUAUUUAAUCCUCAUAACAACGCCAUGAAGAUCAUACUAUUACCAUCCAAAGUUUACUGAGGAAGAUACUGAGGCAAGAUUUACAAUCCAAAGCAGAGUGGGAGGAAGAGACCUACAAGACCAUGUUUCAUUGGAUAGCUUUGGAGUAAUAUCUAUAAUUUUAGAAAAAAGUUAAGAGGAAGAAGAAACUGGUGUCAGCUACACUUAGAAGAUUUUACAACAGAGACUGGCUUCCAUUCACUGAUCAGACAUUCACUGAUUUUUAAUUCUUACCACCAGAGAAAAAGUUGUUAUGAUGAGGGUCCUCAGGAAAGACAAUACAGUCAGCCGAGAAAUACAAUUUUCUUUGUCUACUGUUGUUUCCUUUACACGGACCAUUGAAAUAUAUACUUAACCACCAGCAAA
rnacentral:lncRNA from 1 species